GAUGAACGCUGGCGGCGUGCCUAAUACAUGCAAGUCGAGCGAACGGACGAGAAGCUUGCUUCUCUGAUGUUAGCGGCGGACGGGUGAGUAACACGUGGAUAACCUACCUAUAAGACUGGGAUAACUUCGAGAAACCGGAGCUAAUACCGGAUAAUAUUUUGAACCGCAUGGUCCAAAAGUGAAAGACGGUCUUGCUGUCACUUAUAGAUGGAUCCGCGCUGCAUUAGCUAGUUGGUAAGGUAACGGCUUACCAAGGCAACGAUGCAUAGCCGACCUGAGAGGGUGAUCGGCCACACUGGAACUGAGACACGGUCCAGACUCCUACGGGAGGCAGCAGUAGGGAAUCUUCCGCAAUGGGCGAAAGCCUGACGGAGCAACGCCGCGUGAGUGAUGAAGGUCUUCGGAUCGUAAAACUCUGUUAUUAGGGAAGAACAUAUGUGUAAGUAACUGCGCACAUCUUGACGGUACCUAAUCAGAAAGCCACGGCUAACUACGUG
rnacentral:rRNA from 1 species